UCAUUUUCAUCUCUUUUUCUUAAUUUGACUUCAUAUCUAAAAGCUAUCAUCAAUUCAUCAUUCUGUUUUUUAGUUAAUUUGAAGUUUGAGGAACAAAUUUACUAAUAUGAUGAGCUGCAAAGUGAAAGUAUGUACACAACAAUAGUUAAGCUCGGAUCUCCACCAAGGUAAUAUAUUGUGCUGAUUGAUACAGAAAGCGACCUUCUCUGGGUUAGUUGCAAUCAAUGUGAUAAUUGGCCUCGAUCUAAUGGACUUGGGAUAACUUCUAUGAUGUCACAAUUUAGCCAUCCCUUUGUUUUAGUAGGAAACCAGUGUUAUCUGGUCUGAACCAGGUAAUUACAAAUAUAAUAUUUGUUAUUAAGAUCUC